UGGGGAAUAUUGGACAAUGGGCGAAAGCCUGAUCCAGCCAUGCCGCGUGUGUGAAGAAGGUCUUCGGAUUGUAAAGCACUUUAAGUUGGGAGGAAGGGCAGUAAGUUAAUACCUUGCUGUUUUGACGUUACCGACAGAAUAAGCACCGGCUAACUCUGUGCCAGCAGCCGCGGUAAUACAGAGGGUGCAAGCGUUAAUCGGAAUUACUGGGCGUAAAGCGCGCGUAGGGGGUUUGUUAAGUUGGAUGUGAAAGCCCCGGGCUCAACCUGGGAACUGCAUCCAAAACUGGCAAGCUAGAGUACGGUAGAGGGUGGUGGAAUUUCCUGUGUAGCGGUGAAAUGCGUAGAUAUAGGAAGGAACACCAGUGGCGAAGGCGACCACCUGGACUGAUACUGACACUGAGGUGCGAAAGCGUGGGGAGCAAACA
rnacentral:rRNA from 1 species